AAAGUCGUAACAAGGUUUCCGUAGGUGAACCUGCGGAAGGAUCAUUACUGCUUGCUUAUGGCCGUCUGGGUGGGGAAACCCCCUCGACGGUACGGCAACAUACCCUUGACUAUGUAUACCUAUCGUUAUUUCCCUCGGCGGAGCAAUCCGCCGCUGGGGACACCACAAACUCUUGUAUAAAGCAUUUAAAAUUCUGAAACAAACUUGAAAUAUCACAACUUUCAACAAUGGAUCUCUUGGUUCUG
rnacentral:misc_RNA from 1 species